UACGUAGGGUGCAGGCGUUAAUCGGAAUUACUGGGCGUAAAGCGUGCGCAGGCGGUUCGUUGUGUCGGCGGUGAAAGCCCCGGGCUUAACCUGGGAAUGGCCGUUGAAACUGGCGAACUGGAGUGUGGCAGAGGGGGGUGGAAUUCCGCGUGUAGCAGUGAAAUGCGUAGAUAUCAUGAGGAAUACCAGAGGCGAAGGCGGCUACCUGGACAAUUGCUGACGCUCAGGCACGAAAGCGUGGGGAGCAAAAGGG
rnacentral:rRNA from 1 species